GGACAGAUGGCCGAGCUGGUUAUGGCGCCAGGUUAAGGUGAUUCCUUAGCAUAAUUUCCUGGUCACGAAAGUGGCGUGGGUUCGAGUCCCACUCUGUUCA
rnacentral:tRNA from 1 species